rnacentral:tRNA from 1 species
AAUGAAGUGCCUGAUUUAAAAGGAUUAUUUUGAUAGAAUAAAUUAUGUAAUUAUUUUACCUUCAUUA